rnacentral:pre_miRNA from 1 species
GUGUUACUCCCUCCGUUCCAUAAUUCUUGUCUCAGAUUUGCCCAAAAAUGGAUGUAUCUAUUCCUAAAAAGCGUUUAGAUACAUGUAAUAUUUUGACAAGAAUUAUGGGACAGAGGAAGUACUGA